AUUGAACGCUGGCGGCAUGCCUUACACAUGCAAGUCGAACGGCAGCACGGGAGCAAUCCUGGUGGCGAGUGGCGAACGGGUGAGUAAUGUAUCGGAACGUGCCCAGUCGUGGGGGAUAACGUAGCGAAGGCUACGCUACUACCGCAUACGAUCGGCGGAUGAACGCGGGGGAUCGGAAGGCCUCCCGCGAUUGGAGGGGCCGAUAUCAGAUUAGGUAGUUGGUGGGGUAAAGGCCUACCAAGCCGACGAUCUGUAGCUGGUCUGAGAGGACGACCAGCCACACUGGGACUGAGACACGGCCCAGACUCCUACGGGAGGCAGCAGUGGGGAAUUUUGGACAAUGGGCGCAAGCCUGAUCCAGCAAUGCCGCGUGCAGGAUGAAGGCCUUCGGGUUGUAAACUGCUUUUGUACGGAGCGAAAAGGCUCUCUCUAAUACAGGGGGCUCAUGACGGUACCGUAAGAAUAAGCACCGGCUAACUUCGUGCCAGCCGCCGCCGUAA
rnacentral:rRNA from 1 species